rnacentral:rRNA from 1 species
GCCACGGCUAACUACGUGCCAGCAGCCGCGGUAAUACGUAGGUGGCGAGCGUUAUCCGGAUUUACUGGGUGUAAAGGGCGUGUAGGCGGUCUUUCAAGUCGGAAGUGAAAAUUCAUGGCUCAACUGUGAACUUGCUUACGAAACUGGAGGACUUGAGUACUAGAGGGGAAGGCGGAAUUCCUAGUGUAGCGGUAAAAUGCGUAGAGAUUAGGAAGAACACCGGUGGCGAAGGCGGCCUUCUGGCUAGCAACUGACGCUGAGGCGCGAAAGCGUGGGUAUCGAACAGGAUUAGAUACCCUGGUAGUCCACGCCGUAAACGAUGAUUACUCGAAGUAUGCGAUAUGACAGUAUGCUUCCAAGCGAAAGUGAUAAGUAAUCCACCUGGGAAGUACGCCGGCA